UCGACUGAUUUCAAGAUAAGUUCAAUUUCGGAUAAUAAAAUUACAUAUUUACCACUAUAAUUUUCUUUAAUAGCCGAAUAUGUGUUAAACAGUUUCAAAAUUUACAAUAUUUGGCAAGGAAAACGAGAAGGGAAAUUGAGAGUAAAUCAAAAUAGAAUGUGAGAGAAUUUUACCACCAUUUUAUCCUUAAAUGCGAUCCGGAAUGCGACUAGUAUUUGGUCCAGUUAAGUCUUAGGCGGAAUUUGUGUUACGCCAUAAUCCACCUAAUGGCAAAUGGCAACUGGUCAUGGACGUGGUUCAUCCCUUUUGUUUUUAUACAUUUGCAGUAGUUAUUAGUAGAUGAAUGGCAUAUCAUGGAAUGGCAUGACUACGCCAUAUUUGCUCUAUGCAGUUCUGUUUUGUUUCAAGCAAUUUAACAGCUUUUGGCUAAAAUAACAAGAACCAGACUAACAAACACACACACACACACACACAGCAUUCUGACAACCAAAAAGUCAAGCCAAACAAUGCGCCAAUGAACUCAACUUGCUUCACCCCGCUACCUCUUCUUCUGGCUGUAUAUGGAGAUGGAGAUUGUGGAGAUGCAUAGGAAUAGAAAGACAACAGGAGGAGCAGGAGGAGUUUUCUGCAUAUUUCUGCAACACAAAAUAAACCGCAACAGCAGCAAUUUGCGUUGGUUAGUUUGGAGAGUUGCUUAUUUUUACAUGGACCCAUGGACUCACACACAUGACCAGAAAUGCGAUCUAUGGGCUCCAUUCACAUACACAUACAUACGCACAUAUACUCUACAGAUGAGUGUGUUUGUCUUUCAGUGUGUGGUGCUGCUCCCCAUAAUAAAAUAAAAUAUAUUUUUUAACAA